rnacentral:rRNA from 1 species
AAUGGGGGAUAGCUCGUCGAAGGCCGGAUUAAUACCGCAUACGUCCUGAGGGGGAAAGUGGGGACUGUCAGGCCUCACGUUAUACGAGCAGCUGAUGUCUGAUUAGCUAGUUGGUGAGGUAAGAGCUCACCAAGGCGACGAUCAGUAGCGGGUCUGAGAGGAUGAUCCGCCACACUGGGACUGAGACACGGCCCAGACUCCUACGGGAGGCAGCAGUGGGGAAUUUUGGACAAUGUGCGCAAGCCUGAUCCAGCCAUGCCGCGUGUCUGAAGAAGGCCUUCGGGUUGUAAAGGACUUUUGUUCGGGAGGAAAUCCCGCUGGUUAAUACCUGGCGGGGAUGACAGUACCGGAAGAAUAAGCACCGGCUAACUACGUGCCAGCAGCCGCGGUAAUACGUAGGGUGCAAGCGUUAAUCGGAAUUACUGGGCGUAAAGCGUGCGCAGGCGGUUUUGCAAGUCUGAUGUGAAAGCCCCGGGCUCAACCUGGGAACGGCAUUGGAGACUGCAAGACUAGAGUGCGUCAGAGGGGGGUAGAAUUCCGCGUGUAGCAGUGAAAUGCGUAGAGAUGCGGAGGAAUACCGAUGGCGAAGGCAGCCCCCUGGGAUGACACUGACGCUCAUGCACGAAAGCGUGGGGAGCAAACAGGAUUAGAUACCACUGGUAGUCCACGCCCUAAACGAUGUCAAUUAGCUGUUGGGGGUUUGAAUCCUUGGUAGUCGUCAGCAUAGACGUCGUGAAAUUGUACCGCCUGCGGAGUAGCGUCUAUAUA